AGUGCCUUGAGCUAUCAUCUCAGAUGGCCUUUGGGCGGGAGGGCCAGAGGAAGGAGUUAUGGUUCAAGGACAGGCCUCCAUUGACCCUUCUGACUUUAAUGAGGUAUUUAUGGCCUCCAAGCCCAAGGAAGGGGGAAUAUUGCCCAUCUCUGGGAACUAAAAUGUGCCAGACAUCCUGUGGCCUGAUGGGAAGGACUGGGCUGGCUUCCUCCUGUCAUCACUCUGCAUAGUUAUACACCGAAAGGGCAAUGUGUUCAUCCUGCAGUGUUUUAUAUUGUCCCUGGCUUCCAAGAGAAAGAGUCAGAAGACCUGGGAUUUUUGUUCUGACCCUGCUGCCAACUGGCGUGUGAUCUUAGGAAGAUCCUUCUCUUUUCCAUGUCUUGGUUUCACCAUCUUUAAAAUAAAGGAUGUUAAACUAGGACAGCAAUUUGUAAAAACAUUUU